UUCGGUCCCCAGCCCCGGAAAAAAAAAAAAAAAAAGAAUUCCACUAGUGAGCCUUGGUUUUUGCUGGAGUUUGGACUGCACACUAGCCCUUGGAUGCCUCUGACGGAAGUCAAGGCUAGGCUGGCUGCAGUGAGCAGGUGGAGAAUGCCUAGGACUACAGUUAUGCCCUCCUGUCUUCUGGAGUCACGGUUAGCACAGUAGGGGCUAGGGAAACAAGUCAGUGGCAGGGUGUUUGAGAUUAGUAUGCUUGAGACCAUAGUUUUGAUGCCAGCAAUGAGGAACAGUUGCCGGGAGAGCCAUAGAAAUUUGAGGUUUCAGAGGCUCCAGUAGUGACACAUGCGGUCUGUAGGUAUCUUCUAACUCUUCCUUUUGGUCUCCUCCCCAGAAGCACAUGCUGAAAGAGGGAAAAGGUCGGAUGCUGCAGGCCAUCAGUCCCAAGCAGAGUCCCAGCAGCAGCCCUACUCAUGAGCGCUCCCCCUCCCCCUCCUUUCGGUGGCCCUUCUCUGGCAAGACUUCCCCAUCUUCCUCCCCAGCAAGUCUCUCUAGGUGCAAGGCUGUGACCUGUGACAUCAGCGAGGAUGAAGAGGACUAACUUUUCAUCCCUGUUCCCUCUCUCUCCCCCUGCCCGUCACCUCCAGAAGCUCUGUCGAAUUCCAUUUUGUGAUCCCAACACUAAACCUAAGGACAUCUACAAAGAACAGACAAACGGGGCAAGAGGACCUGGGAACGGGGGAACCAAAACAGCCCAUGCCCUGCCUGAGACAUUCUCAGCCACACCACGGAGGCUGCCCACACCUUAGAAGCCUGCUCUGCAUCCAUCUUUCCUCCCCAGAACGUUGCUUUACUGUUUAUUGCUCAUGUAAUCUUGACAGGGAGAUUGUCAUUUACAUCAUUUCUUUUAAAAAGUAGUCUUUCAAAUAUAGUAAGUAC
rnacentral:lncRNA from 1 species